rnacentral:piRNA from 1 species
GUGGCACAGGCCUUUAAUCCCAGC